CUGCAGAUCUGUCAGCUUCAUGCAGAGCUCGGAGCACAUGUGUGGCUCUGCACCAUUAGCAGCGUUGCUAACUCCUCAGUAAGGAAAGCCUGCUUCAUGCCUGAGUCUCUAAACUCCAGAAGAAGUCGAUAAAAGUCCCUUUCUUUCUAAAAAAAAAGGCGUUAGGUGGUCUUAAAAGUCAUUGAAUCUAACAACAAAGUCGCUAGGUUUGCAACUACGUGUCCCAGACUGCAUCCCUGCUGAGAGUCCCUCCCUCCCUUCUCAUGUUGCAGGAAGACCGUAAGCGCCCGCCCCUUGUCAAUCAGUCACCAUAUAAUUUUGGAUUGGUUGUUGUGGUGAAGUUUUCCACCAAUAGGAGAGAUGUUGUGGUGUGUUUUUUUUUUCUUUUGGCAAGCCUUUUCCGCCUGUAAGACCUGUCGCUAAUGUCUGCAUGCUAUGUUUUCCUGUCUCAUACAGCGCGAUCGAGCGCCGAACGUGAUCAAAAUAAGCAGAAAAAAAGUAUCGCAGACAUAAUUUAUCAUAACUCUGGUUUUAUUUGGCCUAUCAACACAAUUUAAAAACUGGUAUAUAGUUUAAGGUCCUCACUUUGGAGAUAAGUUGAAACGGAGAGUCAACGAGGCUCCAUCUUGCAGCUACAUCCGGUUAAAUAUGUCAUGUGACUUGAACGCUGGGGAGCGUCAAUCGACUGCAGAGCCAGCAGACAAAGUACUUAUGGCCAUUGAGAGGCACACAUUUGUCAUAUGCUAUAAUCCUAACAUAUUUUAAUGCUUUUUCUAUUUAAACCUAAUGGAUCUAAGCUUUGACCUUCAAAAUUUAGGAAGAAUAUGUUUUUGCAGUAAUGACCCCCUGAAAACAACCAGAGGUCCUUUCCUAAAGUUUAUGGAAAUUUUAGUGAAGGCCUUGGUUUCUGUCCUUGCAAAAUGCAUAGAAAUAAUAAAGCUAAAUACCAUAAAAUGGUCUUGGCGUAUUAGCAGUGAUAUAAAAUAGUGGUUUGAAUAUGAAUGAACAACAAAAAAAAACAUCAACAGAGCCUUUUUGUGUUGGGAUUCUUUCAUUAUUACACAAAAACAGACAUAGACAGACAUCGAAAGGGUAAGGGAAUGAUCAGCCCUCCUGACUCUCAGAUGAAUCUUCAAAAUUCACCUCAGAAAUAUGCUUAUUCUUCUCAGAGUACUGCAGGAUACACACACACACACACACACACACACACACACACACACACACACACACACACACACUCACUCAGAGUCUUUUUUUUAGCACCUGCAAAAACAUGCUAUUUACAUAUUUGACAAGAAUGCAGAGGCUCCUUUUGCCCCUGAAAAAAAUCAAAUUUCAAACACAACUUGACUGCUCAUUUCUCCAAAAGACAACCAUGAAGCUCCAUCCAAACCUGAAGCAGGCAGUUGGUGCAUGUGUACAGUAACCUGAGGGGAGUGAGGUGACUGCUUCUGAGGAGAACAUGAGCAGUGAAGAUUCACCUUGGAGCUAGAACAGGGACGUGCACAUGAUUAUACAGGGGCAGGGGCUCACGUUUUUUCCAGUCGUUUAUACAAUAUGGAAAUUAAUGUGAAAUUAAAAACAAAGUAUUAAUAGAAAGGUAAU